UCCCUCUUUUGUCAAAGACAUCAAGAUCACAGUCGAAAGAACAUGAUUUCCAGCAUGUACAAUGAUAGACUAGCGUUCUCCUCUGCUUUGAUGCAUGUUUGGUUUACACACUAAUACAGUUUCCCAUCCUAACCUCGAACUCUCUUGACUACUUACAAGGUUCUCUCUACCUAGAGCUCUUAAUCUAUCAUUACUAUUGGCAUGUGAUUCAAGUUGGUUUCUCUAUUAUGUUAAACAUGGGCUAUUUUGAACAUUUCCAAAAGACACUCUAUAACU
rnacentral:lncRNA from 1 species